rnacentral:lncRNA from 1 species
UGGAUGUUAAUAAGCUCGGGUCUGUGGCAGCAACAACUAUCUUCACUCCCAGCCUGCAGAGGUGAGCUACCAGUGAACUUCUUAAUGAUACGGAGCAUUCUCACCAGAAUGAGAUGAAUUCUCACCUCUCACCAGAGCAUACCUAAAUGUCCUUGGUGAAUAGUGUAUCCUCGCGUCCCUCCUGUGGUACCUUGGAUUCAGGAGUCAGCCGUCCAUGUCGUAUUCGAAGAUGCUCACUCUUUCCAACUCUGCUUGAAAUGGCCAACAAGCAAAACUGGGGCAAACCUUUGGACUGGGACGAGACCUGCAAUUGUUUUACAAACUAUUGUUUGAGAAGUCAGCAGGAAAACAGACAUCCUGAUCACAAGGACCGAAGAUUGUGGACUUUCUGAAGAAAGGAAGUAAAACCAGAGAGACGUGAUUUGAUUGGACACUGUGCAUGGAACUAAAUUGAGUCAUUGAUUUGGGAGAAAACUUGAGGACAGGUCUGCUUGGGAUUCUGAGACUUGGAAGAAGGCAUGGUGUCAUCCUGAUGGGCUGAAGUGAAGAUUUAUACUCUGUCCCAGGCAGCUUUCGCGUGAUCUUUGUGCAGUCUGGGUUUUCAGCAAGGCUGCUCCUUAGCCUCAGCAGGUUAAAGGCUACAGCAAGGCAUUCAGCGAGCCAGCCAACAAAGAGAAAGCGGAUUAUAAUCAUGAGGAUGGACAUUUGGUUUUGAUAAAUCAAUGAGAAGCAAUAGGACUUAUUGGAGUACACACGGAAGCCAUUUGAUGUAAAACUAAUUCGGCCUGACCUUGUUUUUCCAAAAGGGUCUGAUGUGGCCUGUUAAGCAUCUCUCCCUAAACUCAGGAUUAAUUACUGACCUGCUCUGCUCAACCUGUGACGGUUCACCUUGUGACUGCCAGCCUGCUGUGCUCACUGAUCUGCAGUGCCAGCUAAGCACCUCAUGACAAUUGCAAAAGGGACCUUCCUACAUAUGUGAUGUGUGCUCUUUGUUCCAGAAGACAUAUCACCACUCUGUACAGCCACUUCUUUGGUGCCCUUCCUUUCUUGGGGAAGGAAGGCCCCAGGCUAGUCCUCAGAUCUGGCUCAUAAUAAACUCACCGCAAUUUUGAUUUAUAGAUUGAUUAUGGAUUAUUUCUGUCAACAGUUUAUUUGCCCUUUUGGAUAAUGCUGCUAUGAACAUCUGUGUACAAAUUUUUGAGCAGACAUAUGUUUUCAUUUCUUUCGGGUAUACACUUAGGAGUGGAAUUGCUGGGUCAUAUGGUAACUCUAUGUUUAACUUUUGGGGGAACUGUCCAACUAUUGUACAAAGCAGAUGUGUCAUUUCGUAUUCCCACUAAUAAUGUAUGAGUGUUCAAAUUUCUGCACAUUCUCUCAAACAAUUGUAAUUAUCCAUCUUUUUUUUAAUCUGUCUUUUUGAUGGACAAUUGUGUGUCUUUUUAAUUACAUGAAGUAUGUGUCCUGGUGUCUCACUGCGAUUGUGAUGUGCGUUUCCCUAAUGACUAAUGAUGCUGAAUAUCUUUUUGUGUGCUUGUUUGCUAAUUGUACACCUUCUUUGGAAAAAUUUCUCUUGAACUCCUUUGACCAUUUUUUAAUUGGGUUGUCUUUUUACUGUUGAGUUAUAAUGAGUUCUUUUUAUAUUCUAGAGACUAGUGUCUUUUCAGAUUUAUCCUUUGCAAAUAUUUUCACACAUUCAACGUGUUGUCUUUUCACUUUCUCGAUACUAUCUAUUGAAGCAGAAAGUUUUUAAGUUUUGAUGAGGUCCGUCUAAUUUUCUUUCGUUGCUUGUGCUUUGGUGUCAUAUCUAAGAAAUUGUUACGUAGACCGAAGAUGUGAACAUACAAUAUAUGUAUUCUUCCAAGAGUUUUAGAGUUGUAGCUCUUAAUUUUGACCUUUGAUCAAUUUUUAGUUAAUUUUUGUAUAUAAUAUGAGGUAGGGUCCAACUUCCUUCUUUGCAUUUGAAUAUCCUGUUGUCCCAGCACCAUUUGGUGAAAAGACUAUUCUUUCCUCAUUGAAUUCUCUUUACUCCUUUAUUGAAAAUUAAUUCACCAUAAAUAUGAGAGUUUAUUUCUGUACUCUCAAUUCUAUCCCAUUGAUCUGUGUAUCCAUGCUUACCAGUACCACAAUGUCUUUUCUUUCUUUUUUAAAAAUUUUGUUAAUACCCUGAUCCUUAUUUCUUCAGCUUUAUUAUGGUAUAAUUAGCAAAUAAAAUUAUAAGAUAUUUAAAGUGUACAGCAUGAUGAUUUGAUAUAUGUAUAC